rnacentral:rRNA from 1 species
AUGGCGGCGUCGGAGCUACACUUCUUGCUGGUACCGCUAGUGGCGCAGGGCCACAUCAUCCCCAUGGUGGACCUAGCUCGCCUCCUCGCCGCGUGGGGGCCGCGCGUCACCGUCGUCACCACACCUGUCAACGCCGCGCGGAACAGAGCCACCAUCGACGGAGCCAGGAGGGCGGGCCUCGCCGUCGAGCUCGUGGAGCUCCCCUUCCCCGGCCCGCAGGUGGGGCUGCCGGAGGGGCUGGAGAACCUCGACCAGCUGCUCGACGACGCUGAUGCUGCACUGCCCGUCCGCCUAUUUCCUCCUCGCCGUGCACAACCUGUCCACUCCACGCACGGCGUGUACGACCGUGUCGGCGACAACGAGACGGAGCCGUUCGAGGUGCCGGACUUCCCGAUGGGCGCCGUCGGGAACACGGCCAUGUUCCGGGGCUUCUUCCAUCACCCCGGCGUGGAGAAGGAGCAGCGCGACAUUCUCGAUGCCGAGGCCACCGCUGAUGGCCUGCUGAUCAACACGUUAGGCGGCGUCGAGGGGAUCUUUGUCGACGCGUAUGCGGCGGUGCUCCGCAAGAGGACGUGGGUUCUCGGGUCGACGUGCACCUCUGGCAUCUUGGACAAGGACGCCGACGCCAUGGCCGACCGCGGCAACCACGCCGACGUCGAUGUCGGCCACGUCGUCUCAUGGCUCGACGCCCGGCCACCGGCGUGUGCUGGCAAGGGCCUCGUCGUGCGCGGGUGGGCGCCGCAGGUGACCAUCCAAUCGCACCCGGCGGUGGGUGGCUUCCUCACGCACUGCGGAUGGAACGCGACGCUGGAGGCCAUCUCCCACGGCGUGCCGACGCUGACGUGGCCCUGCUUCACCGACCAGUUCUGCAGCGAGCGGCUGCUCGUGGACGUGCUCCGCAUAGGCAUCAGGUCGGGCGUCAAGGUGCCCGCCAAGAACGUCCCCAAAGUGGCCGAUGGCGUCCAGGUGCCGAGCGGCGACGUGGAGAAGGCCAUUGCCGAGCUGAUAGAUGGCGGGCCCGAGAGGACGGUGAGGAGCUCCAGAGCCAAGGAAGUUGCCAGGGAGGCGAGAGCGGCCAUGGAGGAAGGCGGGUCGUCGUACUCCGACCUGACGGACAUGAUCCGCUACGCCUUGGAGCCGUCGAGAAAAAGGAGCCACGAGAGGGACACAAGCUCGAUGACCCAUCCUCUCACGGCGGCAGAGCUCCGAAGCAACGACGGCGAGAAGAUCGAAGCCGGUGCUCCAUUGUCACUACAGUCCUAA